rnacentral:rRNA from 1 species
AGCAGCCGCGGUAAUUCCAGCUCCAAUAGCGUAUAUUAAAGUUGUUGCAAGUUAAAAAGCUCGUAGUUGAAUUUCGGGGUUCUUCCGUUGGUCAGGCUAACAAGUCUGUACUAGCGUGUAGAAUCUCUACCUUCUGGGGAACCAUCAUGUUAUUAAUUUAGCGUGGUGGGAAACCAGGACCUUUACCUUGAAAAAUUAGAAGUGUUCAAAAGCAGGCUUACGUCUGAAUACAUUAGCAUGGAAAUAAUAAAAUAGGACGGUGGUCCUGUUUUGUUGGUUUCUGAAUCACCGUAAUGAUUAAUAGGGAUAGUUGGGGGCAUUAGUAUUCAAUUGUCAGAGGUGAAAAUUCUUGGAUUUAUUGAAGACUAACUUCUGCGAAAGCAUUUGCCAAGGAUGUUUUCAUUAAUCAAGAACGAAAGUUAGGGGAUCGAAAGACGAUUAGAUACCGUCGUAGUCUUAACCAUAAACUAUGCCGACUAGGGAUCGGACGAUGUUAAAAUUUUAUUGACUCGUUCGGCGC